GCCAGGCAUGGUGGUGCAUGCCUGUAAUCCCAGCUACUCAGGAGGCUGAGGCAGAAGAAUUGCUUGAACCUGGGAGGCAGAGAUUGCAGUGAGCUGAGAUCGUGCCACUGCACUCCAGCCUGGGCCACAGAGCAAGACUCUGUCUCAA
rnacentral:SRP_RNA from 1 species